rnacentral:rRNA from 2 species
UUCGAGAAAAACGGAUCUACCCCAGACAGUCUACAUAUCUUACGGCACGCCGUCAGCGACUCAUCUACUUAUAGACUAGCUAUCUCGAGCUAUAUGCACACUCAACGCGGAUAGAAGAGAGCACUCAUAUAGUGAGACCCCCCUGAUCAGCAGUCGUGGGGGUGUAUGCCUUCAAACACGCUCUCUCUCUCUGUCUGAGGUGUCAGGCCACACGACUCUGACACGUGCCCACUCUCAACGAGACACAGAGUGGGAUAUUUGCGAUGGGGGAACCUGUCGCACACACAUCGCGCGAAAGUAGAAAGCCUUUAGUUUGUAGUUCUUUCUCUAUUGAGGAAGGUUUGAUGUUUUAGCGCAUCUCAUUUCGUUAAAACAGAGGAGACGCCGGCUCUCUCCGUGCCAGCGGCCGCGGUGAUACGGAGAGGUGCGAGCGUUAAUCGGAAUAUCUGGGCGUAUAAGGGCGCGCAGGCGGUUAUUUUUGUGAGGUGUGGAAACCCCGGGCUUUUCCUGGGAAAUGCAUUUCAGACUGGGUAACUAGAGUGCUUUAGGGAGGGGUAGAAUUCCCCGUGUAGCGGUGAAAUGCGUAGAGAUGUGGAGGAAUACCGAAAAGGAGAAGGCACCCUUGGGGGAAUGCUGACGCUCAUGUGCGAAAGCGUGGGGAGCAAACAGG